rnacentral:misc_RNA from 1 species
AAAAGCUCUGGAAAUGGGUGCUAUUGAGACACUUAUUGUGUGGGAAAAUCUGGAUAUUACUAGGUAUGUGCUGAAAAAUAGCGGUUCUGGAGAAACUGUUGUCAAACACUUGAACAAGGGGCAGGAGGCUGAUCAGAGUAACUUCCGUGAUCCUGCUACAAAUGCAGAAUUAGAGGUUCAGGAAAAAUUGUCACUGCUCGAGUGGUUUGCUAAUGAGUACAGGAAAUUUGGUUGU